CCCAGACUCCUACGGGAGGCAGCAGUGGGGGAUAUUGCACAAUGGGGGGAACCCUGAUGCAGCGACGCCGCGUGGGUGAAGGAGCGUUUCGGCGCGUAAAGCCCUCUCGGCAGGGAAGAAGGAGGACGGUACCUGACUAAGAAGCCCCGGCUAACUACGUGCCAGCAGCCGCGGUAAUACGUAGGGGGCAAGCGUUAUCCGGAUUUACUGGGUGUAAAGGGGGCGCAGACGGCAGCGCAAGCCAGGAGUGAAAGCCCGGGGCCCAACCCCGGGACUGCUCUUGGAACUGCGCGGCUGGAGUGCAGGAGGGGCAGGCGGAAUUCCUGGUGUAGCGGUGAAAUGCGUAGAUAUCAGGAGGAACACCGGUGGCGAAGGCGGCCUGCUGGACUGCGACUGACGUUGAGGCCCGAAAGCGUGGGGAGCAAACAGGAUUAGAUACCCCCGUA
rnacentral:rRNA from 1 species